AAGAGUUUAAUAAAACUCCCUAAACCCACUGUGAAUUUACCUGUUUAGUUGCUUCGGCAGGCGGCCCCAGGGCGGGGCCUAAGUGCUUGUUUUACAAGUGUCUGCCGAAGAAUUUUUAAAACUCUGUUUUUAGUGGUCUUCUGAGUAUCAAAAUAAAUAAGUUA
rnacentral:misc_RNA from 1 species